GAAUAAAUAAUGCAGAUGCAAAAGCCCAGGUUUUCAGUUACACAUUCAUUACCACCCGUCUGUCAGGUUCUCAUCAUCAGGAGAAAAAUGUCCAACUCCAGCAAGGAGUGACAGGUGAAGAAUGCAAAACAACUUCAGACAAUAGAUCAAAGGCCCUGAGCAGGAGGAAGCAUCCCCAGCCCUCCUUUCUGGGGGAGAGCAGAGAAAGGAGAGUGGGAAACAAGAAGACAAUGCGCCAUCAAAGCUGCCGCAAGGUGUUGGAUCAAUGACAACAUCUGCAUGAGGGUCUGGGCUACAAUAGGAGCUGUUACCAUGGAAACAGGUGCAAAAGCAUCAGGGGGAAGAAGCAGGCGAUGAUGAAAGGUGAGAAAGGGAGAGAGAGUAUUUUUAGCUCCCUUAGGAGGAAAGCUAUACAAUGACAUCACCCUAUCUCAUUAUUUGCACCCGUGCUGCACAACGUAUUGUGGCACCUGCCCCAGACUGCUAAAUGGGAAAAUGUUAUUAUGGGUGUGAAUUAUAAAUACUGCAGUGAAAUUUGAGCUUGGGAGUUAUUAGACAUCACUAUUCUGUAAUAAAGGAAAGCAUUUAAUGCAUUGUGCUGUAGAGAUUCACUGUACGGUGUAAGAUGCAUCAUGUCUAGAAUUUUAAUAUUCUCAGAAAGUAAUUAUGACUCAUCCUUUUAUGGUUAUUAAGAAGCAGAGUGAAAAUAAUUUUACACAUUUGAUAUCCCACACACCAACAAGCCUUUUGCACUGGAGAAACAUGGCCUAAUUUUCCAGAGCUCUGCGUGCCAACAUGUUCUGAGUGAAUGUGUUAGUAGUCAUAGGUGCUCGGCACUGCCAGAAAUCCAGCCAUCUGUGUCACAUGUGAAUGAAGCCUCAUUAAUCUCAGAAAUACAAAGUGUGCGUUUCACUGCCUGUGUUCAUCUCCUUUGGAAGGGCCAGUUAAGGACCAGUAGAUACCCAUAACAUCCGCUGAAGCCCUGAUUCCAGGCAGGGAAAAAAUUCUGGCUGUCAGACAUGACUCCUGGCUGCCAAACAGAGGGGAAAACCUCCAGCCUGGGGAGCUGAAACAAGCUGGGGCUCAUCUGCCCUGCGCCAAGAGGUGGGUGCCCAGAGCUCACCCCACCAGAGAGGCUGGAAUCACUAUUCCUGUCAUGCUGCUCACAGUGAAGUC
rnacentral:lncRNA from 1 species